AUUCCUCCCAUGUGACCGUCUCACCUCCACGACAUGAAUGUUAUUUAAGGCCUCAUCGGCACUAAUUGUCAUGAAACUGCCCAAUAAAUCGCAGCAGAAACUGCUAGAUGAACUGAUCCGCCGCCGCCUCCUGCAGGUUAAAAACCACCCCGUGCUGCCAUCUAUAUCAAGUAUGCCAGCCUGCUGGCGUCGCGCCCUCUCCCGGUGUUCUCACAUCUGUUUAUGGCCAUUCGAGAUUGAUGUCGCCUCCCAUCGAUGCAUGAUGCCUGCGUGCUGCAAGAUCCAUGCUCCUCCGUCUUCAUACACCCCCUGUGUACCACCAUGAGAGUGCAUCUCCUCCUAAAUCAAGGGCAUCUUAGUAUUCAUGGCUACAUCCAACCACAAGGACAACGAGUUGUAGGCCACCACAUCCUGUUCUGGUACAGACUUAUUUCAUAUGUUUACAUCAUGUACUACUAAAACUAUGACCUAUUGUUUCAGUGCACAUUUGAUUGAUCAAUGUCAGACAGGUUUUUGUCCAUGCAAUGUGCCUCUAAUCGUGCAUGUGGUGGCAACAAGUAUUAUACAUAUGUGUAUUUCCCUUCUUAUCUACUACCGUGUACGUGUAUGUAAAAAGAAAAGGAAAAGUCUGAGAGUAUUUGACAUUUUUCAUAUC